GAUGAACGCUGGCGGCGUGCCUAAUACAUGCAAGUCGAGCGAACGGACGAGAAGCUUGCUUCUCUGAUGUUAGCGGCGGACGGGUGAGUAACACGUGGAUAACCUACCUAUAAGACUGGGAUAACUUCGGGAAACCGGAGCUAAUACCGGAUAAUAUUUUGAACCGCAUGGUUCAAAAGUAAAAGACGGUCUUGCUGUCACUUAUAGAUGGAUCCGCGCUGCAUUAGCUAGUUGGUAAGGUAACGGCUUACCAAGGCAACGAUGCAUAGCCGACCUGAGAGGGUGAUAGGCCACACUGGAACUGAGACACGGUCCAGACUCCUACGGGGGGCAGCAGUAGGGAAUCUUCCGCAAUGGGCGAAAGCCUGACGGAGCAACGCCGCGUGAGUGAUGAAGGUCUUCGGAUCGUAAAACUCUGUUAUUAGGGAAGAACAUAUGUGUAAGUAACUGUGCACAUCUUGAGGGUGCCUAAUCAGAAAGCCACGGCUAACUACGCG
rnacentral:rRNA from 1 species